rnacentral:rRNA from 1 species
AGGGGGGUUUGAUCAUGGGCUCAGAAUCAACGCUGGCGGCGUGCCUAACACAUGCAAGUCGAGCGAGAAAGCGGACUUCGGUCCGUGAGUACAGCGGCGGACGGGUGAGUAACACGUGGGUAAUCUGCCCUCGGGUGAGGAAUAACCCAGGGAAACCUGGGCUAAUACCGCAUAACAUCCUCGAUUCUCAGAAUUGAAGAUCAAAGCUGGGGACCCUUCGGGGCCUGGCGCCUGGGGAGGAGCCCGCGGCCAAUUAGCUUGAUGGUGAGGUAAUGGCUCACCAUGGCUACGAUUGGUAACCGGCCUGAGAGGGCGGACGGUCACACUGGGACUGAGACACGGCCCAGACUCCUACGGGAGGCAGCAGUGGGGAAUUUUUGUCAAUGGGGGAAACCCUGAACAAGCAACGCCGCGUGGAGGACGAAGACCUUCGGGUUGUAAACUUCUGUCGGAGGGGACGAAUGCAGUAGAGGUCAAUACCCUCUAUUGUUGACGGUACCCUACGAGGAAGCCCCGGCUAACUCCGUGCCAGCAGCCGCGGUAAUACGGGGGGGCAAGCGUUGUUCGGAAUUACUGGGCGUUAAAGGGCGCGCAGGCGGGCGAGCAAGUCUCUCGUGAAGUCCCAUGGCUCAACUGUGGAACUGCGGGAGAUACUGUUUGUCUUGAGUUCCGGGAGAAGAGANCGGAAUUCCCAGUG